UUGGCAGAGCUCUAGCACAUUUAUUGGGAGAGUGAGCCUGGGAAAGACUAAGGGAGUGGUGGCAGGGAGAAAGGCUGUGGGGAAUCAGAGCAGGUGCUCAGCUGGGUCUUGAAGGAGAAGAGGAGGAGGGUGGGAGGUGGGUUGCCCAGGAUAUCUGGUUGAAGACUUGGGGGUCAAGACAAAGGGACUUAGGGGGUUGGGGUCUGGUUAGAGUUGGGGAGGGAGCCUAGGACAUCCGUGCAGUCUGGGGAGGUUGGGGUGGGAGAGUCUGUACAGUUUGGUGUUGGGUGUUCUGGUUGGCCUGGGAUGGAAAUGUAGUACCCGGAUGUCUUUGUAGAGGACUCAGAAGGAAGUAGAGGAGGGGUCUUAAGUGGGGCUAUAUGCCAAGAAAGUGGGUCGGUGGGGCUGAGGCUGUCGGCUGAGGGUUAGGGUAAUGCUGGUAGGGUCUGGAAGCCGGGGAGUUGUCGGUGUGGGGUCGGAAAGCUGGAGGGGGUGUGAGAGCGAGGGUGUCAGUGGAAGGGUCUAGGUUAUCAAGGCAGUGUCCAGGGUGGAGGUUAGGGCAGAAUCCAGGAGUGGGUGAGAGGACAGUCCUUGGCGCACUCAGGACAUCUGGCUGGGCGGAGUCAGAUCGGCUUUAAUAGAGGGAGCCUGAGGAGGC
rnacentral:antisense_RNA from 1 species